GUAGGUGGCAAGCGUUGUCCGGGAUUAUUGGGCGUAAAGCGCGCGCAGGUGGUUCUUUAAGUCUGAUGUGAAAGCCCCCGGCUCAACCGGGGAGGGUCAUUGGAAACUGGGGAACUUGAGUGCAGGAGAGGAAAGUGGAAUUCCACGUGUAGCGGUGAAAUGCGUAGAUAUGUGGAGGAACACCAGUGGCGAAGGCGACUUUCUGGCCUGUAACUGACACUGAGGCGUGAAAGCGUGGGGAGCAAACAGGGAUUAGAUACCCUGGUAGUCCACGCCGUAAACGAUGAGUGCUAAGUGUUGGGGGGGUUUCCCGCCCCUCAGUGCUGCAGCUAACGCAUUAAGCACUCCGCCUGGGGAUACGGUCGCAAGACUG
rnacentral:rRNA from 1 species